AGAAUUUCCACAGCUCUCUGUCGACUGCAGAAACACACAGAUUCUUGAUUAUGUAUAAUGGACAGUUCCCUCCUCCAUAUAAUGGAGUGGCAAUGGUCCAGACCAACACUCCCUACCAGAUGACAGCGCCGCAGGUUUAUCAAACCCAACAAAUUCAAACUUCCACUGUAUACAAUCAACCACUCCCACAGAUGAUCCAGACUAUUGGCAUGGCUCCAGUGGUUUACAACCAACAGCCCACUGCUCCUCCACCUGACCAGGCAAUAAUUAUUGCACCACAUCUGACUGAAGUUCCUGGGCAGAUAAAAUGUCCUAACUGCAAGCAGCAGAUUGUCACAGAGAUGAAAU